GUCAGGAUAAGUCCAAAAUAGUAAGGACAAGUUUGAUUUUAAGACAAGAGCUUAGGAAGAGAAUUAAGGAAGACAACGAGACAAAAAAGAUAGAGAAAGAAAAGGCUAGGAGAGGAAGGAAGAAAAUCUUGAGGUUCUACUGCCCAGAAGAGUUCUUAGAGAAAGAAUUCAGAGGGAAGAAACUUGUCUAAAAGAGAGAGUAUCUUGAUCAAGCUCCUGUAUGGAUCACUGUUGGAGGGCGAAUACUUGGGUGCC
rnacentral:lncRNA from 1 species